rnacentral:tRNA from 1 species
UGGGGAAUGGUGUAACGGUAGCACGGCUGGCUCUGAACCAGUUAGUCCAGGUUCAAAUCCUGGUUCCCCAG